rnacentral:rRNA from 1 species
GUCCACACGGUAAACGAUGAAUACUCGCUGUUGGCGAUACAAUGUCAGCGGCCAAGCGAAAGCGUUAAGUAUUCCACCUGGGGAGUACGCCGGCAACGGUGAAACUCAAAGGAAUUGACGGGGGCCCGCACAAGCGGAGGAACAUGUGGUUUAAUUCGAUGAUACGCGAGGAACCUUACCCGGGCUUAAAUUAUGCAUGAAUAAUCCGGAGACGGAUUAGCCGCAAGGCAUGUAUGAAGGUGCUGCAUGGUUGUCGU